AUGUUAUCAAUCGUGGAUGAAGAAGGUGAUAAAGUAUUACCCUCACUGCCUAACAUUGAACACUUAUCCCUUGAAUCCUGCAAUCUCACAAAACUUCCAAGUGUAUUGAGGUAUUUAGAUAAAAUUUCAGACCUCAAUCUUUCAAGUAAUCAAAUUAGUGGUGUUAUACCAAGGUGGGUAUGGGAGAAUUGGAAGGAUCAGGUUGAUAUUCUGGACCUCUCCAACAACAUGUUUACUGCUCUGGAGAAAUCUUCUUCUCUUGUUCAUAUGCCAUAUCUGACAUACCUUAAUCUCAGCUUUAAUAGACUUCAAGGAAGCAUACCAAUACCAAUAACUUCGUAUGUCUCAGCACCGUACUUCUUGUACAAUGGGGUUGUGUUGGAUUACUCAAACAAUAACUUCUCUUCCAUCAUACCUAACAUUGGAAGAUAUAUUCAGAACUCCAUAUAUCUUGAUUUGUCCAAGAAUAAAUUAAGUGGCCAUCUACCAUCUUCAAUUUGUAGUGCAUGUUAA
rnacentral:rRNA from 1 species